UUUCCAGAAUAUACCGUUUGGUUAAGACUUGUGUAUUAUAGUAUAUCAUAGUUUUAAAACUUCUUUUUCUGUCAGAUAUUUUCAAUAACUAGCUAUCGAGACCAUCCUCAGUUGUUCGGGCUGGAAUACACAAGCGGUCAGCUGAGAAAUUACUCGUCUUCCGACAGGGAUAUAUCAUUGGCUGGUUAGCUACACGGGGUUAGAGGCAGUGGAAAUGGAGAUGUUUGUGUAAAAACGACCCCAACGAAGAGACGGUUAUCGUUGGGGUCCAUUGUAUAACGUUGUUGACGAAGAAGUAGAAAGCAGUGAUUUGAAAUUCCUCGCUGCGUCUCCA